CUUGUAUAUAGUCAAAAUAAUAAUAGUUAUUAAUUGAGUAUAGGACUUAAGCAGAAAUUUGUUUCAUCUAUUAAAGUUUUUAGGGAGUAUCGUACUUCGAAUAUUCAUGUACCUACUCUGGUAUAUUUUCCGUGAUGGAAUAAUAAUUGUGAAAGAACAGUCGAAGAGAUUAAACAUACUUUCAACAAAUAUAACAAAGAUCGCACCGUAGAAAAUUUAACUUUCUUCAAAUGCAGAACUAUUUCCAAGC
rnacentral:misc_RNA from 1 species